CGUUUGUUCGAAAAAAAAGGCCUAUCAAUGAUUUUUUUUUUUUUUUAGGAAAACCGAAAUAUAUUGAUAUCAGUUUCAAAUUGAAUGAAAAAUUGGAUAAUUUUAAGUCUUUAUAUAUAGAUGAACAGAUAGUCAGAUAACGAUUAUGAAAAUAAAAGAUAACAAAAAUCUCUUAGGUUCCUAAACAAAUGAAAUUAUAUCUGAAGUAGAUCAAGGCACACGUGGGAGACAAAAGAAAGAUGAAGUCGAGCAAAGGAAGCUGUGCUUAGUGAAAGAAAAAAAUCAUUGAAGAAAAAUGGCAAGAAUGGAAAACAAACUAAACAGUUCUUUAUGACGAUUAACAGCGGGUUGCAACUAACUUUGACAGAUAAUUUUAAACAUGGCUGCAACAGAGAAUAUUUGAACCAAUCACCAAGGCAUUCAAACAUGGAAUCACCUGAUCUACGAAUGUGAAAAACAAGAACAGGGUAGAUCAGCAUUAGGAAAAGAGUUUCUACUCUGAGGGAUGGCCCCAUAUAAAAAAAAUUGUUAAUAUUGUGACUUUUAAUUGUUAAUUAUGUAGUACAUAAAACAAUAAAAAAAAGAAUUAACUAACUCAAUUUAAUAUAAUUGCAGAAUAUGUAAUCACAUAUUGGAAGCGUGUCAAAUAUACAUCUCCACUGCAGGGUUACUGUGGUGGAGAAAAAAAAGGC